CCGUUGGUUCUGAGCUUCAAUCUAAUGAGACGUUCAUUGAGGAGUUUUUAACAGGACACUGUUAAAAACCCCGUGACAAUCCGAAAAUUGUUCUUACUUAAAUCAGGGAAAAUCUUAGAUUUUUCUUUGUCGUAAGUCCUGAGAGAUUUCUUCGUUUGGAGGAUUCCCAUUCCAGGUUACGAAUGGAGUCUUCCAGGUUCUUGAAUCCUGCUGUAAGUUGCUUUCUACUUGAGAAGCAGAACAGUUCAUGUUCAGUAAAUGAAGUGUUCGCUCCUUUUCUAGCUAGAUCGAUUUUUCAUUAUCUUCUAUUCAUUGGUGGGCUGGUACCCAGAGUAGAGGAACUUUAUUUUUAUUGCCUAAUUUGUUCAGCUUCUCUAGGCAUUCUUUAACCAACUUCGAAUUCAUGGUUACUGAGUUGAUCGGUCUUAAGGCUGCUUGACUAUCACAAAAGAUUUGCAAGCACUAAACAAAAGACUAUUCUUUAGAACUACUACUACUUUUCUUCUACUGAUUUUUUUUAUUUAUUUGAAAAUUUCAAGUUGUUGUUUUUGAAGGUGAUGACAAUUAUUAUAAUUUACUUUACAGGAUAUUCCAAUGUAUAGGUUCAGUUAGUGGAGUGUUCGCUCCUUUGCUUGCUAGAUCGUUUGCUUUUUCAUUACUAUUCUAUCCCUUGGUGGGCUGGCCCCCGGGCUGGCUGGACACCCAGAGUAGGAAUAGGAAUAUUUUUUUUGCUCAAUUUGUUCAGUUUCUCUAAACAUUCUUUGACCAACUUCGAAUUGAUGGUUACUGAGUUGAUCGCAACUUAAGGCUGCUUGGCUAUCGGAUAAGAUUUCUUCGGCCUAUUUCUUUUUCCCGAUAAUUCAUAUCUAAAAUAAUUCUUAUGAUGCUAACUUAGUUAGCUAAGCAGUCGUCCAGUGUUGAAAAUAUAGUGUUUUGUCGUAUAGCGGUGAACUAGUGUUUUAAUUUGCUCUUGUAGCGCCAAAGCUUUCAAAAAAUAUCUAUUAUUUAUCGCGGAUGAAAUCCAUUUAGAGGAGGCGAUGCAAAAUCUCCUAAUAAUAAUGAUGUUAACAUCUCUAAAUUUUACGACUGAUUAUAUAUUGAAUUAUUAAAGAAACACGAAAGAGCCGAAAGUGGUAAUUAUGAACAAAUUUAUUGUUGGGCUUAUUGUUAUUUUUCUUUUAUUUUCGCACUCCUUAGCUGUAUUUUACUGUUUUAACCGACCCUGUCCAGCAAACACCCAAGACUGUGACAGAGAUUUUGAAAUACUAAAUUUAACUGCAGCAGAAAUAAGGAUUCAUUGUCUGAAUGAUGCAGGAGAAAAACUACAUACUCAUGUCUUGAAAAAGUUCAUAAAAUUAAUUAAAUUAGACGAUGCCAUAAAGAAAGAAGACAACAAUAAUGAUGAAGACCAUCAAAUUUAACAUUAAAUAUUACAUUAUCAAUAAUAAAUUUAGUUUUUAAAUAAUAAUAUAGUUCUUUUUUAUGUAUAUUGGCGGGCAUCCAUAAAUUAUGUGAAGCGUUUUUGAGUAAAAAAUUUGAUCCCCUCCCUCCCUUGAUUCUUUCAAUGGACGCCCUCUUAUCUCAAGUAAACCUUGUUCUAUAUUCUUUAAAAUUAACUGUUACAAGUUCAUAAAAAUAAGCAAUCAGUAAUAAUUAGGUACAUCUUUAUCAAAAAAGAUAUUAAAAUCAUUCUUAUUAAUGUAUAUCUGAACAGAUUUAACCCUAUGACACUUUUAAUCGCUUAUUUGUAACGAGUUCUUGGAAUGUUUGCCAAUCGUACUACUAUACAGGGGAUUUCUGGAUGAAUCUGUAUUUAUUGUUGUUAGAGAUAUUCUUCACAUAUUACACAUAUUAUAUUUUUUAUAAUUAAAAAUAGAUAAUAAGAACAUCAUCGUUUUAUUUGUCAUCAUAAUAAUGUUUUUAAUUGAAUUUAAUAAUACUGAUAUCAUUAUAAAGAAAUUGAAAAUAUAUUUUGGGACACCCUGUAUACCUAAAUAUUUAUAACAGCUUGAUGUCGAAACGACAAUUAUCAGUAAUACACGAGAGAAAUAAACUUCUAAAGCUUCACUAAUUCAGGCAUUUUUAUUUUUUCUGGAAAAUUUAACGGUGAGCCUGUACAAAAAAUUAGAAAAAUGUUUAAAAAAAAAUACGUUGUUAAUAUUACUGAUUGCUUUUGGACUUGUGGCGUUGUCACAGGAAUACGUACCUCCACCUACUUGUUUUGGUCAAGCGUGCCCUUCAAGCACCACCAAUUGCAAGCAAGACAAAAAAUCAAGCAGCGACAAAAGACGUAUUGAAGUCACUAUAUCGUGUUUAGAUGACUAUGAUUCAACGCUCAAAGAUUAUUACUUUGAGGAACCCAGUAAUUUUGAUCCUCAUACCAACUACCAUAACACCAAGUACGAGUCUGUAAAUGAGGGUUAUUCUAGCCCUCAGAGAGCCCAACGUCUAGAUUUGACACCCUACCAUGGAAGACUAGUAGAUUUCUUUUAAAAAAAUUCCACCCACUAACUGAAAAUGUGUGUCGAAUGAUAAAAUACCAGAUGCAUUGUAAAUUAAUUAUUUAUUAAAUAAACUGUUUAAAUGUUUUAAUAGC
rnacentral:misc_RNA from 1 species